AUUGAACGCUGGCGGCAUGCUUUACACAUGCAAGUCGAACGGCAGCGGGGGCUUCGGCCCGCCGGCGAGUGGCGAACGGGUGAGUAAUGCAUCGGAACGUGCCCAGUCAUGGGGGAUAACUACGCGAAAGCGUAGCUAAUACCGCAUACGCCCUGAGGGGGAAAGUGGGGGAUCGCAAGACCUCACGGGAUUGGAGCGGCCGAUGUCAGAUUAGCUAGUUGGUGAGGUAAAGGCUCACCAAGGCGACGAUCUGUAGCGGGUCUGAGAGGAUGAUCCGCCACACUGGGACUGAGACACGGCCCAGACUCCUACGGGAGGCAGCAGUGGGGAAUUUUGGACAAUGGGCGAAAGCCUGAUCCAGCCAUGCCGCGUGAGUGAAGAAGGCCUUCGGGUUGUAAAGCUCUUUCGGACGGAAAGAAGUCGCACGGGCUAAUAUCCCGUGUGGAUGACGGUACCGUAAGAAGAAGCACCGGCUAACUACGUGCCAGCCGCCGCAGUAAAAC
rnacentral:rRNA from 1 species